rnacentral:rRNA from 1 species
ACGGGAGGCAGCAGUGGGGAAUAUUGGGCAAUGGGGGCAACCCUGACCCAGCAACGCCGCGUGAAGGACGAAGGCUUUCGGGUUGUAAACUUCUUUUAAGGGGGAAGAGCAGAAGACGGUACCCCUCGAAUAAGCCACGGCUAACUACGUGCCAGCAGCCGCGGUAAUACGUAGGUGGCGAGCGUUGUCCGGAUUUACUGGGUGUAAAGGGCGUGUAGCCGGGGAAGCAAGUCAGAUGUGAAAUCUAUGGGCUCAACCCAUAAACUGCAUUUGAAACUGUUUUUCUUGAGUGUCGGAGGGGCAAUCGGAAUUCCUUGUGUAGCGGUGAAAUGCGUAGAUAUAAGGAGGAACACCAGUGGCGAAGGCGGAUUGCUGGACGAUAACUGACGGUGAGGCGCGAAAGUGUGGGGAGCAAACAGGAUUAGAUACCCUGGUA